rnacentral:lncRNA from 1 species
CCGUGCUCCAUAGCGCUAUCGUGUUCAUAUGUAUUUUACCGUCCCGUAUCACACUGUCCCAUCCUCUAUCGAUUAUUGAUUUUGUUUAAAAUUCGCUACUAAAAUCGAUAUCGAUUUAAACUGAUUUCCCGUACCGUGAACAGGUAUGGUGCCGGGACAGUACCGAUAAACCCCCAUUUUAUACCGACACCUUAACUCACUCUAAUCAACACCAUAAACUAACAAAAGACCCAGAAACAUCCAAUGAGUUACCCAAAAGUCACCCAAAGAUAGAAACCACCACAUGCAACUACAAUCACUAAAAACCCAAACAAUUACAUCAAACCCCACAAAGAUGAGACUUCAGAGUGAGAAAGAGAAAAUUAAGAGUCAAAAUUUUGUUACGAGACAAAAAUUAU